GGCACUGGGCACUGAUGCACCAUUGUUCAACAUGAAUUCUGGACGUUUACAGGCAUCACUGGACAGAAUCGAGGCCAUUUUUACAAAUUAUGACACAACAAAACUGAUCCCUGAUACAGCUACCAGCUAGUAUCAGUUUUUUAUCCCAGUAAUGUUUUUACCUGAUGUAGGUUCGCUAUAUGUUUUAAAUCUUACUCUUUAUACUCAAUGGUUUACUUGUUCUGUUUUUUAUGUCGUUAUGUUAUGGCUGAGCGGGAUAUUGUUCCUUUUUGCCAGCAAUUCACUCCCAACCAGACUAAAAAAAAUGGGGAUCCAAUUGGAGGUGGUGGCAUAAAGAUUGUAAUCUAAGUUGGUUUCGAACAUUCUCUCUGUAUUUGUUUUUCGUAUCAACAAAGAGUUUGUAAGUGCUUGUCAAA
rnacentral:lncRNA from 1 species